CCUGGAACAACCAAUUAAUCUGCUACAAAUUUCGACUUUUUUCAUGUGUUUUAUGCUCAUUUUGAUCUGAACUCUGACUGAAAACAAAGAUGCAGAAAUGAAGAUAAGACAGAAAAAAGUAAAAAUAGAAAGAAAGGCAUGGCCUUCCCUUUGCCUCAAAUGACUUGCCUUUUAAGCCCCCUUUCAAAUCCUCUACGAGGAGUAGGCAGAAGAGGGAUGGUUAAUAAUGGUUGCAGUGUUCUUCUUCUUCUUCUUCUUCUUCUUCUUCUUUCUCCACAUGUUUUUGGUCUCAAAGUUUGAGCUCAAAACUCAGACAGAAGAAACAAAAACAACUUAUUGCAUUGCAUUGCCUUUGUUUGUGCAACAACCUGUAUCUUUAUAUACACCUUUGAGAAGUGUUUAAACCUGUGUCAGAAGUCCAACAUUUCAG
rnacentral:lncRNA from 1 species